rnacentral:rRNA from 1 species
GGAGCCUGAGAAACGGCUACCACAUCUAAGGAAGGCAGCAGGCGCGCAAAUUACCCAAUGAAAACAGUUUCGAGGUAGUGACGAGAAAUAACAAUACAGGACAUCUAAUGUUUUGUAAUUGGAAUGAAGGGAAUCCAAACCCCUUUCUGAGUAACAAUUGGAGGGCAAGUCUGGUGCCAGCAGCCGCGGUAAUUCCAGCUCCAAUAGCGUAUAUUAGAGUUGUUGCAGUUAAAAAGCUCGUAGUUGGAUUUCUGUUGGGAGCAGCCGGUCCGCCUUUUGGUGUGUACUUGGUGAAUCUCAGCAUUUUCUUGGUUGCCUUUCCCUACUUUAUUGUUUGGGUUUGGUUUGUCCAAGACUUUUACUUUGAGAAAAAUAGAGUGUUUCAAGCAGGCUUUUGCCUUGAAUACUGCAGCAUGGAAUAAUAAGAUAGGACUUUGGUUCUAUUUUGUUGGUUUCUAGGA